rnacentral:rRNA from 1 species
UACGGAGGGUGCGAGCGUUGUUCGGAAUUACUGGGCGUAAAGCGCGCGUAGGCGGCUUUGCAAGUCGGGUGUGAAAUCCCCAGGCUUAACCUGGGAACUGCAUUCGAGACUGCAUUGCUAGAGUAUGGGAGAGGGAAGUGGAAUUUCCGGUGUAGCGGUGAAAUGCGUAGAUAUCGGAAGGAACAUCAGUGGCGAAAGCGACUUGCUGGGUCUUCUCUGACACUGAGGCACGAAAGCUAGGGGAGCAAACGGG